AUGAGUCUGGGGUCAUGUGAACAUGGUUAAUAUGUCUUUGUAGCACGUGGGCCCACGAUGAAGCUCCGCCCCCACUGUGCUGGCAGUCUAGCUCCGCCCCCGCACAGAGCACUGUUGUUACAUAUUAGCGUCGCUUCUGCGGGACUGUGAAAGUAAACCAACAGCUGGAGGGAGAGAAACAGGAGGAGCUGAAGCAGGUUGUGGCUGUAAGUUUUAAGUGAAAGAGUGCUGCCUUUACGUGGCGACGGUGAAGAAGCAUAUUUACUGGACAUGUUUUUGUGUGUGAAUAAUUGAAGAAUCAGAUUCAUAGAACUGGAUUAGAGGUGAGGAUUGAGAUUUGUGCUUGCAUAAUGUGAUUUACAGUAAUCCGGGGAAUGUAUUGAUAUUGUGGUCCAGGAAAGCAUUGUUUCAGUCAUGUGGUAUAAGGUUAAAGGUUAAAUCCUGUACGAUGGAGGAAAUGUAACGUUACAGGUGUUGAUCAGUGUAAAUCCCGUAGAGACAGACCAUAUGGGUUUUUUGGGGCAGAUAAACAGGGUUAGAGAGAGACCAGAGGAGCUGCAUAGAGAUGAGAGCUGCUGUUCUGUCUAUAAGAGGUCCAGAAACACAGAACAGUCACAGAUGAAGCAGCUGCUGUUGGUUAAAAGAAACAAACCACAGUGACUCUUUUCACACCCAGCAGUCCACUCCUCCCUCCUGCCUGUUGAACAAAAGGAGUUCCUUCUGCUUUUCCUACUGAGCAGGAACUUCCUGUAUUCUGUCUGUGUUCUGACCCCACAGCUCCUCUUCAUACCUGCACAGGUAGAUCAACGACCAUCACGGCAACGACAGGAAGUGAUGUCACAGACAACGGACCCACGGAGGUCACACGGGCUCCGGAGGUCACACGGGCUCCGGAGAUGUGGAGCACAGCUGUCCAGCAGCAGCAGGUAAACAGUCUGCAGAGCUUUGUUGGAAACACAGUGAGAGUCUCCUUCAUCAUCAUCAUCAUACCUGCACUGCUGCUGAUCACCUGUUACAGAGUUUGGAGGACGAACCAAACUGAAAGACUGACAGGAGGCUGAACCAAUCAGAGAAGGAGGACACAGAGAGUCUCUAGUGUUGUUAAAGCCUUUUAUUUUUU